CUUGGGGUGUAUGCUCAGUACGGCGAGUGAGCGGCAAAGCUCAAAUUUGAAACCCUCGGGAUUGUAAUUUGAAGAUUUGGCAUUGGAGAAAGCUAACCCAAGUUGCUUGGAAUAGUACGUCAUAGAGGGUGACAACCCCGUCUGGCUAACCGUUCUCCAUGUAUUGCCUUAUCAAAGAGUCGAGUUGUUUGGGAAUGCAGCUCAAAGUGGGUGGUAAACUCCAUCUAAAGCUAAAUACUGGUGAGAGACCGAUAGCGAACAAGUACUGUGAAGGAAAGGUGAAAAGAACUUUGAAAAGAGAGUGAAAUAGUAUGUGAAAUUGUUGAUAGGGAAGGAAAUGAGUGGAGAGUGGCCGAGGUUUCAGCCGCCCCUCGUGGGCGGUGUACUGCCGACGCCGAGUCAUCGAUAGCGAGACGAGGGUUACAAAUGGGAGCGCCUUCGGGCGUUCUCCCCUAACCCUCCACACUGCCACCGACGACAUAAUCCACCCAUUUCACCCGUCUUGAAAUAGGGACCAAAUU
rnacentral:rRNA from 1 species